CUGCUAUUUGUAAAAUAUAGCAGAUGGGCUUCAAAUGAGCUCUCCAACAGGCUGUCAUUUAGCCUGCUAAAUUUUAACUUUGCCAUUUCUUUUGUCAAUUCUAGCACAAGAAAUGGCAAUUGCUAUUUCCCUAUUUCGUUCCUAUGUAGGGCAACACAGAGAGAGAGAGACAGUGAAGAGAAAGGCAGCGACCAGGACAGAGAGAGAGAAGAGAACGGCCUGCUAUUUGUCGAUCAAACCCCACCACCAGCAUCCCGAUCAGAGCUCGACCUCAGCCCUGCCCUCCUCUCUCCCUCUCUCUCUCUCCUACACCACACACUCUCUCCUCAAACCAUAGACAAAUGCCUACACCAUAGCCACUCCUCCGUCGCUUUGAAACUCUAGAAGGAAGCAACAGGACAAUUAGCUUGAUCAGCCAAGCUGCCUAAGACACAAUUGCUCAGCUGUUUUUUUUUCUUCUGAAAAUUCAAUUGCUCAGCUGUUGUUUAUGUGAUUGUUAUAUAUAUUAAAGAACACUUCGGUAUUCCCAAUUAUGACAAUUAUCAAUGUAUUGUUAUAUAUAUUACAGUAGCUUCAUAGAGAAAGAAGCCAAGGAAAAAGAAAGAGAUGAUAAGAUUAUGAUGGACCUUUCUAACAUGGACCCUCAGGCGAAAGUUUACUACCAGCUGCGCGAGGAUGAGAUUCUUGCCAAACUACAAGCACAGUCAACAAACUUUGAUUAUUGUGUUCCUCUUCCCCCAUCUCCACCGUGAAGGACACGUGAAGUUGAGACUUUUGCAGCUAGCAUCUUUUGUGUAAAUGAGCUGUCAAAAACAAAUCUUUUGUGUAAAUGGGUUCAAUGUUUUAAAGCAGCUCAAUUUUUGUGUAAAGGACAAUGUUUUAAACAGCUAGCUUUGAAUGUUGUAAUGUCAUUGUACAUAUUGCUUGUUAUUUCUGACUCUUAACAGGGUAAUGAGAUUUCAAUCCCUUGUAUUUA